UGCAAAGAAAAAAAACAGACACGACCACACACACGGGCUCGCCUCCUCUCCCUCUCGCCCACGAAGUCCUCGCCGCCGCCACCACCCAUGCCGGCCACUUCCGGCGAGCUCCGGCGACGCGCAGCACGCUCCCGAGCUCCCCACGGUCCGCGCCUCCCUCCCUUCCGGACAGAUUCUCCGCUUCCGGCCUCUACCGCCCGCUCGCAACCCCACCCCCGUGGCUAGGGUUUCGGCCAAGGCUUCGUCGGCGCAUCUCCGGCGGCCCCAAGUUCGUCCCUCCUUCUUUCUUGGCCGGGAUCUGUCACCUCUACACCUCACCUUCUCUUCCUAUCCUCUGCUGCAGAUGCAGAUGUAGCACCCCAUGGGAGUUCCCCAUCCACCACGGUGGCAGAUUCUUCAUGGAGAUGUGAUGCAAAAGAAGCAUAAUAGUUCAGUGAUGAUUAGGGUGAUGAUGUUUAUGCAUCUAGGGAACCAUGGAGAUUUUAACAUGUGAUAUUUCCUCAAGCAAACUAAGUUCUUUUGCAAUUUGCUGCUCAAGUUGUGGCUCUCCUGCAGGGCAAAUCUUCCCAACAAGAAGCAUAACAGAGGCCUCUCUUUCAAUGUCUGAAGAUUGGGUAUCUAAUAACUGGCCAUCAGAGGGAGAAAUUCAGCUCCAUAACCUCCAUGUAAAUACCAUCAUCUAUUUUCCCUCUUGCCCACUUCUGUUACGUAUUUACAUUUUUGUGUUGGCAUGUUCUAAAGAAGCUGCACCUUUUUUCCCCUUGUGAGUAAAUUGCCAGAAAUCUAAACUCAUGGGCAAAUGAACUGUUUGAUUCAGUGAUUUGCCAGAU